GUACGGUAAUUACGUGGGACGUAAAGCGCAUGCAGGCGGCCUGUUAAGUCAGAUGUAGAAACGGCCCGGGGACCUUUAACCGUACGGUAAGUUGCUAUUUAGUAAACGUGGCGAGGCUAGAGUCUUGUAGGAGGGGGGUAGGAAUUUCAGGUGUAGCGGUGAAAUGCGUAGAGAUCUGAAGGAAUACCAGUGGCGAAGGCGGCCCCCUGGACAAAGACUGACGCUCAGAUGCGAAAGCGUGGGGAGCAAACAGGAUUAGAUACCCUGGUAG
rnacentral:rRNA from 1 species